CUGGUUUUCAAUCCUUGAAAAUAACGGGAAUAUAAAAAGUGCACACGUUCCUUAAUAUUUUGUAAGUAUUUACCUACAGUCUCAACUACAGCUUGGCUUAGGGAACCUUCACAACAAGACAGUAAGGAAUAGCGGCAUUUUUAUCAAAGUGGGUCUACAUUAGUCCAAGGAAUUUAGUGACUCCUCUGAAAGCACCCCUCGGCUCUGUGGGGAUCAAGAGGAGCGAGAAGGGGGCGCAGUGCAUACUGGGUAUUGUAGUUCCUGCGCAAAGGAGGGGGGGCAUGGUGUUGCGUAGCACUCUGGGAGUUGAAGUCCACUUGUCCAGUGGGAGCUCAAAGAAGGCAUACUGUGAAUUGUCCGUCAGAGUCACCAGUUACAGGUUGAUGCUUUCUCUUGGCUCUGCGCUUGCCGUAUUGGUGGCCGAAGGGCUGGCGUGGCGAAGAGUGGGGAAAAAGAAUGAGGUGGAGCAUGGGUCUGUUGGUUGCAGAUAUUGCUACAACAAAUCAGAAGGCUUUCGUGCCCCGGAAGUGGCUGACCUACUCGGUUCGAAGGGGAGGCCUUUCCUCUUACUACGGUGGCCGGGGAGCUCGGGUCCCUGUGGCAGCGGCGCUGAGGUCGGAGCGGCUGCUUUUGGGGCGGCUUCUGCUAGAGCUGGAACACUUCCCGGAGGGAGCACAAGCAGGAGGAGUGGGAGAGGGAGAAGCAGGCUCCCCCGCUGAGCAGGGAACUCCAUGAGGGGCUCGAUCCCAGACUCUGGUAUCAUGACCUGAGCUGAAGGCAGGUGCUUAACUGACUGACCCACCCAAGCACCCCUCUAAUGGAGGUUUUGAUUGUAGGACCUUGAUACAAGUCACAUGUGAAGGUAAAUGAAUGCUCAGUACUUAGUUUCUUUUUUUAUUUAAGAGAAUAAAGCACAAGUAGUACAUAUUGAGUUAUCAUUGUAAAGAAGCUCUGUAUUGAUUUAGUGUUUUUAACUGGAGGGUAUAUUCCUGAGGAGUUUUAAGAAUGUUUAGAAGCUGUAUUCUUGAGGCAAAACUAUCUCAUUAGUCCCUUAUUAAUCUUUUUGCUAUAAGCUCUUUUAUCCCUCUUUUAAAAGUCAGUUUCUGAAUAUGCGAGCCCUGCCCUUAUUAUGUUGCUGUUCCUUUGCUCAACUUUUUAACUCUUACUGCCACGUACUUUGCCUAACCCAUAGCUCUGAAAGAGGACAAUUCAAAUAAAUAUUACCAGCAUUCUCCCUUUCUUUAUAUUUGUGACUUUUUAAAAGAGAUAAACAUGCUGGGUUUACAAACAACAUUUUUAGACAGCACGUUCAGUGUAUGAAGAUGGAAGACUGGCAAAUGUAGGAAAAGAGGGAAAAAGAAAUGGAUACAGUAAUUGAUGUUUCUGCAGACAAAGAACUGAGAUGGAGAGAAAUAAGAGAGCAGAGAUGACCGACCAACAUAUUGAGAGACAUUCAAGGUCAGACAAGGGAUUAAUAUUUGUUACUAAAAAUGCAAGCAGGUAGAAAAGGUUACAGUAGAUGAAAACUUAGAAUGGACCUCACACUUCAUUUUAUUUGAUGGUAUAGCUAAAAGCACAUAAAAAUUUUUAAAUCAAUACCUAUAUUUCAUCUUGCUGCAGAAUACCAUUUGGGGAAGAUGCCCAAGCAUACGCAAAUCCUGUAAAGUCUGCAGUGUUUUUGUCGGUUGUACUAUGUGACUGAGAUAUAUUCUGUAGAGUCAGUCCCUAAAGUUCUGUUAGGAGCUUUUUCUUGGCUUUAAAUUCUCAGUGGAUAAAAUAUUCUUUUACCUAUUGCCAUAAGGGAGAGGCUGAUUACCUUCAUCUGCCCUUCAAGGACAUUGAUUUGAGUACCCUUAACAUUUAUCAGUUUAUAAUUUAUUGACUGUCUUAAUGCAUGGUUAUGGUUAGAAAAGUGACUCUCUAAAAAUGACAUCUGGGUCUCAAUCAACGAUUUUCAUAUCAAAUGUAGCUCUGCUUUCCAAAAGAACUCUGCUCAAUGUUCACUCUGCUUUUCACAUCAUUAAAAUAGUAAAAUUUAGGAAUAAACCUCAUCUGGUAGCUUUAUGUUUACUAUGAUAAAAUACAAUAGAGAUUUCUCCUCUUUAUUGCUAUUUUUUAAUUAAAAUGGAUUUGUCAGAAGGCAAGCAGUGAACAGAAAUAUGGGAAUGGUGGAUGGUUAAGAUUUAUUGUAGUAUCAUUAACAAAGAAAGUCUACUUGAAAAAGUUACUAAUUUCUCUAAGGUUUAGGAAAUAACCAUAAAUCCCUUCUUAAAAAAAAGAAAAAGAAAAAACCAUACCUCCCCCCUUUAACCAUAAAUCCCUUCUUAAAAGUGUUUGGAGGGGCACCUGGGUGGCUCAGUCAGUUAAGCAUUUGCCUUCAGCUCAGGUCAUGAUCCUGGGGUCCUGAGUUAGAGUCCAGCAUCGGAUUCCCUGCUCAGUAGGGAGUCUGCUUCUCCCUCUGCCUGCCUCUCUCUCUCUGUCAAAUGAAUAAAUACACUCUUAAAAAACUGUUUGGAAGUUGUGAAGAAUGUUAUUUUGAUGGUUUUCUAGCUUAAGGUUCUGACAUUACAUAAACUAAACAAGAAUUCUGGCAUAUCAGUUUGAUCACUGGAGCAGUGAAACCAGGUAUUUCAGGUAACAAAAGAGAUAAAUAUACUAAGUAAUGGGUAAAUCAGCACUUCAUUUUAUACCUGAUAGAAUGAAUUUUAAUUCAUUUUUAAUUUUUUAAAAAUCAAGAAAGCUUUUGGAAAGGGAAUUUCUGGGUGAGGGUGGUUUAGACUUUUUAAUGGUAUUACUAUUAAAGUGCAUUGUGGUUUUGUUUGUGUUUUUUGCUAAUUUGUAGUUAAACUAAAAGUACUGUUUGUCUUGCCUUUCCUUGGCCUAUUUCACACAAGUAUAAAAAAUAUUUUAAUAGACUGAAUGGACUCAAUUAUUAAUUUAUUCCUUUUCCUCUUUCCAAGUCUUACUACUAUUUCAAGGAGGAAAAAAAAAAAAAAAAGAAUUAACUAGGGAUAUCCUCCCAGUCAUUUUAUUCAGCCAGAGCUACCCUAGGGAAUUGCAUUGAGGAAGUUACGUUUUCUAUAUGACUAAAGAGCUGAAUCUGAUGUCGUUAAGAACCGGAAGAAUAAAAUUGUUUAUCUUAAAAAGGAAAAAGCACUGGCUCAGCAUUUUAUUUUUCUUAGAAGCUGCUUAGGAUUUUGUAAUAGAAUGUGUUCUCUGUAGGUUUUUUAGUCAAGCAGUUUUCGGCACAUUUGUAAUUUCCUGUAUUAUUUUUAAUCUGAGCAAUUUAUUUUUGAAUAUUAUUUUAAUGUAAACAUUAAAUGUAAACAAUUUAAAUAAAUAGAAGUACAAAAAUAAAUAAAAGAUGACAUUUCAUCUCUUAGUUCCACUUUUAACAUGGACUUCAAGACAUUGUUUUUGCAUAUUUGUGUGUGUGUGUGUGUGUGUGCAGUUCUCUAUACAUAUAUAGUAUAUACACAUGUAGAUAUGUAAAUUGUAUUCAUGCUAUUCUCUCUUCCUUUUCCUCACCUUCUAUAAAGUUAGUAAACUUUUAUUUUUUAUUAUUUAAUUAACUUCUUUAUAAAAAUAUUUUUUUUAUUCAUUUGAGACAGCAAGUUAGAGCAUGAGCAGGGGGAGAGGCAGGGAGAGAGGGAGAAGCUGACUCCCCUUUGGGCCCAGGACCCAGAGAUCAUGACCUGAGCCAAAGGCAGAUGCUUAACCAUCUGAGCCACCCAGGUGCCCCUAAACAUUACUUUUUUAGAGCAGUUUUGGAUACAUAGCAAGAUGGAGCAGACAGAGUUCCUAUAUCCCUCCUGUCCCACAAAAUGGAGAACUUUGCCCACUAUCAGCAUCCUGUACCAGAGUGGUACAUUUGUUACCACUGAACCUACAUUGACACAUCAUUAUCACUCCAGGUCUGUGGUUUAUAUUAGGGUUGACUUUUGGUGUAAAUUAAUGUAUGAUGACAUGUAUCUACAACUGUAGUACUACAGAGUAUAGUUUUAUUGCCUAAAAAUCCUCUGUGUUCUUCCUGCUCAUUCUUUGCCCCUACUGCCCCAUCCCUCAAAAACACUGAUCUUUUUGCUAUUUCCAUAGUUUUGCCUUUUCCACAAUAUCAUUCUGUUGGAAUCAUACAGUUUGAUUAAGAUUGGCUUCUUUCACUUUGUAAUACACACUUAGUUUUCCUUAAUACCUUUUUAUGGCUUGAUAGCUCCCUUCCUGUAAGUGCUUGAGUUCGUCUGUUGUCUGGAUAUAUUAUAGUUUAUUUAUUCAUUCACCUACUGAAGGACAUCUUAGUUGCUUCCAAAGUUUUGGUAAUUAUGAAUAAAACUGCUAUAAACAUCUGUGUGCAGGUUUUUGUGUGGAUUGUUUUUAUUUCAUUUGCGUAAAUACCAAGGACCACAAUUGCUGAAUCAUAUGCUUAAGAGUAUGUUUAGUUUUGUGAGAAGCUGCUGUACUGUCUUCCAAAGUAGCUGUAACAUCUUGCAUUCCUAUCAGCAAUGAAUGAGAGUACUUAUUGCUUGACAUCUUUGCUGAC
rnacentral:lncRNA from 1 species